GACGAACGCUGGCGGCGUGCUUAACACAUGCAAGUCGAGCGGUAAGGCCCUUUCGGGGGUACACGAGCGGCGAACGGGUGAGUAACACGUGGGUGACCUGCCCUUAGCUCUGGGAUAAGCCUGGGAAACUGGGUCUAAUACCGGAUAUGACUCCAUGACGCAUGUUGUGGGGUGGAAAGCCUUGUGCGGCUAGGGAUGGGCCCGCGGCCUAUCAGCUUGUUGGUGGGGUGANGGCCUACCAAGGCGACGACGGGUAGCCGGCCUGAGAGGGCGACCGGCCACACUGGGACUGAGACACGGCCCAGACUCCUACGGGAGGCAGCAGUGGGGAAGUCUUGCGCAAUGGGCGAAAGCCUGACGCAGCGACGCCGCGUGAGGGAUGACGGCCUCGG
rnacentral:rRNA from 1 species